UACGAAGGGUGCAAGCGUUACUCGGAAUUACUGGGCGUAAAGCGUGCGUAGGUGGUGAGUUAAGUCUGUCGUGAAAGCCCCGGGCUCAACCUGGGAAUGGCGAUGGAUACUGGCUCGCUAGAGUGCGGUAGAGGAGAGUGGAAUUCCCGGUGUAGCAGUGAAAUGCGUAGAUAUCGGGAGGAACAUCAGUGGCGAAGGCGGCUACCUGGCCCAAUACUGACACUCAGGUGCGAAAGCGUGGGGAGCAAACAGG
rnacentral:rRNA from 1 species